rnacentral:rRNA from 1 species
CCUACGGGAGGCUGCAGUGGGGAAUAUUGGACAAUGGGGGGAACCCUGAUCCAGCCAUGCCGCGUGUGCGAAGAAGGCCCUCGGGUUGUAAAGCACUUUCAGUGAGGAAGAACGCCUGGUGGUUAAUACCCAUCAGGAAAGACAUCACUCACAGAAGAAGCACCGGCUAACUCCGUGCCAGCAGCCGCGGUAAUACGGAGGGUGCGAGCGUUAAUCGGAAUUACUGGGCGUAAAGCGCGCGUAGGUGGCUUGAUAAGCCGGUUGUGAAAGCCCCGGGCUCAACCUGGGAACGGCAUCCGGAACUGUCAAGCUAGAGUGCAGGAGAGGAAGGUAGAAUUCCCGGUGUAGCGGUGAAAUGCGUAGAGAUCGGGAGGAAUACCAGUGGCGAAGGCGGCCUUCUGGACUGACACUGACACUGAGGUGCGAAAGCGUGGGUAGCAAACAGGAUUAGAUACCCGUGUAGUC